rnacentral:lncRNA from 1 species
CCCCCAUCUGGUAUGACUAGAUUAUAGUCUUGAAUCUAGCAAGAUUAUUGGAUCCAACUUGAUUAUUCUGAAUUAGUACAGCUCGAUGGAAAUAAUUAAGCAUCAUAGUCCAAUUUAAAACCAAUUGGAACACUUAGUUAUAGUUAUAUUGUACAGAUAAAAUCUAGACCAAUAAUUGCAAACUAACUGAUCAGAUCCAUGUGGUCCAUAUGACUG